rnacentral:rRNA from 1 species
CAUUUCGAGAAAUUUGGGGAUUGCUGUUUUGCGGUUCUUACGGAUUGCACUACGGUGAAAACCAAUUUAAUCGCAGUGGCUUGAACCGGGCAAAAGUCGUAACAAGGUGGCUGUAGGUGAACCUGCUGCCGGAUCAUUAUCGAUCAUACUAGCCAACUGUUUUUAACUGUUGGGGGAGUGAUUUACUUUUGGCUGGAAUCCUCCGUCGUUGUUGGGCACUGCGCUGUGUCAACAGCCAAAACAGUUCAGGAGGGUGCCAUGAGAGUGUGCACGUGCUAUUUGUGUGAUGUCCCCACCAUUUAGCUGGCUUAUUCCUGGGCGAAAAAACGGCUCCGUUGGUUUCUAAGUGUCUUUGAGCAGUUGUUGCCGGCCUUUUUUCCAGUUGUCCAACUAGACUGUGUAUGGAUGUGUGGAUUAAAUGGUCAGUUGGCUACGUCCGUGGCUGCGAUGACAAGAGAUGUUACGUGGACUUCGUGAUCGCGAGAAUCAAUGAGCACCGGCCUUGGUGCCGCCAACAAAAACCUCCAUUCUUACAAUUUUUUAUAUGCUGGAAAAAUUUCUAGCCUUAUCGGUGGAUCACUUGGUUUGUGGGUCGAUGAAGAACGCAGCCAACUGCGAUAAGUAGUGUGAACUGCAGAUAUUUUGAACACUGAACCUUCGAAUGCACAUUGCGCCAUUGGAUUUUUAUCUUUUGGCACAUCUGGCUCAGGGUCGUAAAUACAAAACAAGAGCUGUUGACUUGUUGUAUGGUGCUUAGAUCACGGCCUUGUCUGUCCGGUGUCUGCUUUUUGCGCCGGCUGUCCGUGUUUUUGCAGCAGUGAAUACUGGCUGCUUGCUUCUUGGGCAAAUGCGCCUGGAUGGUUGUUGCCUUUGUCUUGUUUAGGCGCUACCAGGUGGAAUUGCUCGGUUGCACUGGCGGUUUAUGUUCGCUUUUCCGACCUGAGCUCAGUUGUGACUACCUGCUGAACUUAAGCAUAUCAGUAAGCA